UCUAUCUCUGUUAGGUGUCAAAUACACACAAAUUUUGAGAUGGGCCUGGUUCUUUUAAUACUCUCUGACUAAGGAAUAGAAAUGACUGAUCUGUUAAUUCUCCUAACCAUGAAGAAAAAUUUGUUUCACUGCAAGGGAAACUGUUUUAACAUCAACAACAUUACAAUUUCCUGUUCUUCACUGUCAAGAGAAUAGCUUCACAUAAGGUCAAUGCAAAAUCGAUAUCAGAUUCCCUUUGCUGAGAAACUCUUGCUGAAACAGCCAGGCACUCCACUGCAACAUCUACAACGUCUUUUGUCUCUUGACUUUCCAUCUCAGAGGAUGACUAUCUUGCUGAAAUGGGUACCUUCUUGUUUUUGCAGUGCCCUGGACCAGUUAACUUCCCUUUGGCGGUGUUCUGAAGCUGGGGACACUGAUCGUUCCUUCUCAGUGGUGGCUUCCAUGCAGUCAUAUGGCAUCAUAACUUCAAUCUAACUUUCCGAGGAAUACUCUCUUCCAAACUUUUCCGUCAGGCAGAAGAUACAGAAGCUUGAACACAUGCAGCAACAGAUUCAAGAACAGCUUCUUUCCUGCUAUUUU